rnacentral:rRNA from 1 species
GGCGCAGCCUGAUGCAGCCAUGCCGCGUGUGUGAAGAAGGCCUUCGGGUUGUAAAGCACUUUCAGUAGGGAGGAAGGUGUUGUCGUUAAUAGCGGCAACAUUUGACGUUACCUACAGAAGAAGCACCGGCUAACUCCGUGCCAGCAGCCGCGGUAAUACGGAGGGUGCGAGCGUUAAUCGGAAUUACUGGGCGUAAAGCGCAUGCAGGUGGUGAGUUAAGUCAGAUGUGAAAGCCCGGGGCUCAACCUCGGAGUUGCAUUUGAAACUGGCUGACUAGAGUACUGUAGAGGGGGGUAGAAUUUCAGGUGUAGCGGUGAAAUGCGUAGAGAUCUGAAGGAAUACCGGUGGCGAAGGCGGCCCCCUGGACAGAUACUGACACUCAGAUGCGAAAGCGUGGGGAGCAAACAGGAUUAGAUACCCUGGUAGUCCACGCCGUAAACGAUGUCUACUUGGAGGUUGUGGCCUUGAGCCGUGGCUUUCGGAGCUAACGCGUUAAGUAGACCGCCUGGGGAGUACGGUCGCAAGAUUAAAACUCAAAUGAAUUGACGGGGGCCCGCACAAGCGGUGGAGCAUGUGGUUUAAUUCGAUGCAACGCGAAGAACCUUACCUACUCUUGACAUCCAGAAAAUCCUGCGGAGACGCGGGAGUGCCUUCGGGAAUUCUGAGACAGGUGCUGCAUGGCUGUCGUCAGCUCGUGUUGUGAAAUGUUGGGUUAAGUCCCGCAACGAGCGCAACCCUUAUCCUUGUUUGCCAGCACUUCGGGUGGGAACUCCAGGGAGACUGCCGGUGAUAAACCGGAGGAAGGUGGGGACGACGUCAAGUCAUCAUGGCCCUUACGAGUAGGGCUACACACGUGCUACAUGCCGCAUACAGAGGGCGGCCAACUUGCAAGUGAGCGAUCCCAAAAGUGCGUCGUAGUCCGGAUGAGUCUGCACUCGACUCCAUGAAGUCGGAUCGCUAGUAUCGGGAUCAGGAUGCCACGGUGGAUACGUUCCGGGCUGACAACCCGCCCGUCACCCAUGGGAUGGGCUGCAAAGAGUAGUAGUUACCUCGGGGGACGCUUACCUUGGUUUCAUGACUGGG